rnacentral:rRNA from 1 species
UCGUGAAUCAUCAAAUCUUUGAACGCACAUUGCGUACUCUGGUAUUCCGGAGGGCAUGCCUGUUUGAGCGUCGUU